GACGAACGCUGGCGGCGUGCUUAACACAUGCAAGUCGAACGGAAAGGCCCCGUUGGGGGUCCUCGAGCGGCGGACGGGUGAGUAACACGUGAGUAACCUGCCCUUGACUUCGGGAUAACUUCAGGAAACUGGGGCCAAUACCGGACAGGAAUCCUAUCUGCAUGGUGGGGGUUGGAAAGCGUCGGCGGUUUUGGAUGGACUUGCGGGGUAUCAGCUUGUUGGUGGGGUAGUGGCUUACCAAGGCUUUGACGGGUAGCCAGCCUGCGGGGGCGACCGGCCACACUGGGACUGAGGGACGGCCCCGGUACCGACGGGUGGGAGCAGGGGGGAAGAUUGCACAAUGGGCGGAAGGCUGGUGCAGCAACGCCGCGGGCGGGAAGACGGUCUUCGGGUUGUAAAACGCUUUCAGCAGGAGCGAAGCUUGUGGUGACGGUACCUGCAGAAGAAGCACCGGCUAACUACGUG
rnacentral:rRNA from 1 species